rnacentral:rRNA from 1 species
AUUGAACGCUGGCGGCAGGCCUAACACAUGCAAGUCGAACGAGUGGCGGACGGGUGAGUAAUGUCUGGGAAACUGCCUGAUGGAGGGGGAUAACUACUGGAAACGGUAGCUAAUACCGCAUACCAUCGGAUGUGCCCAGAUGGGAUUAGCUAGUAGGUGGGGUAAAGGCUCACCUAGGCGACGAUCCCUAGCUGGUCUGAGAGGAUGACCAGCCACACGGGAAUGGAGACAGCGUCCAGACUCCGACGGGAGGCAGCAGGGGGGAAUAUUGCACAAUGGGCGCAAGCCUGAUGCAGCCAGGCCGCGUGUAGGAAGAAGGCCUUCGGGUCGUAAAGUACUUUCAGCGGGGAGGCGUGACCCGCAGAAGAAGCACCGGCUAACUCCGGGCCAGCAGCCGCGGUAAUUC